ensembl:lncRNA
UUUUUUUUUUUUUUUUUGAGGAAGAUUAGCCCUGAGGUAACAUCCACCGCCAAUCCUCCUCUUUUUGCUGAGGAAGACUGGCCCUGACCUAACAUCCAUGGCCAUCUUCCUCUACUUUACAUGUGGGAUGCCUACCACAGCAUGGCUUGCCAAGCAGUGCCAUGUCCACACCCAGGAUCUGAACCAGCAAACCCCGAGCUGCCAAAGCUGAACACGGGCACUUAACUGCUACGCCACCAGGCCAGCCCCUAGCGAGGAAUUCUUAUUCAUUCCUUGUAGUAUAAAUGGUAGAACAACUAAGGAAGACAGACUCAGUAUUCUCUACAAGGAGAUCAGGGAUGGAUGGAUGGAUGGAUGGAUGGAUAGAUGAUAUAACAGUAGGUAGGAAAGAAUUAAUUGUCCCUUGGUGAUCUGGGAAAGUACAAUCUGCAUGGUCCUGGGAGAUAGCAGGGGAGGCUGGGCAAGAUAAAUCUGCAGUAUUAGUUUACCGUUAGAAAAGAACUAAUGCUGUCAAUUCUGCUAGGAGUCCAAGAGGGGAAGAAAAAUUUAAAACACAAAAGAUCCAAGGUGGGGCCAGCCCGUGGCCAAGUGAUUGGGUUCACAUGCUCUGCUUCUGUGGCCCAGGGUUUUGCCAGUUUGGGUCCUGGGCUCGGACAUGGUACUGCUCAUCAAGCCACACUGAGGCAGUGUCCCACAUGCCACAACUGGAAGGACCCACAACUAAGAAUAUACAACUGUGUACUGGGGGCUUUGGGAGAAAAAGGAAAAAUAAAAUCUUUAAAGAAACAAAAAAGCUCCAAGGGAAUUACCAGAGCAUUUGCACUGAGCGAAUUUUCAGAAAUUGGCAUUUACCAGUCAAUUUACUGGCAGACACAGACCUAAAUCCUUUUUCUCAUUCAAGUUUCUAAAUUGAAUCUGAAGGUUGUCAAGAAUACACAGGGUACAUACAACACAUGGUAGGUACCAACCAAAAGACACCUCAGUGGAGAAGGUGGAAGAAAGAGGAAAUCAAAUUGAUAUUCUAAAGGAGAAAAAAUUAGGAUAGCCAGAAUUGGUUUUAGAAGGAAGUGGAAUCACAGCAUAUCUUCACAGUGACUGUAGAGCAUGAAAAUAUAUUCUAGCUAUGAUGAUGAAACAAAAUCUUUUAUAUUACAGUCAGCUUCCAAAAGGACCAGAUCCCAAAUCAACAAUUAUCUGAGUGCAGUCAAAGUGAGUCUGUUUUGGUGUGAACUCCUUCCCUAAUUCCCAUGAGAAGAUUAGGCCAUUUUCUCCAUUUAUGCCUUGUCCAGUAACUUCAAUGGUAACCUUUCCACCCACUAAUUCAAUGGUUCUCUUUAUUUUUGGAGGAAGAUUAGCCCUGAGCUAACUUCUGCUGUCAAUCCUCCUCUUUUUGCUGAGGAAGACUGGCCCUGAGCUAACAGCCGUGCCCAUCUUCCUCUACCUUAUAUGUGGGACGCCUGCCACAGCAUGGCUUGCCAAGUAGUGCUGGGUCUGCACCUGGCAUCUGAACCGGUGAACCCCGGGCUGCUGAAGCAGAACAUGAGAACUUUGCUGUGCCACCGGACCAGCCCCUCAAUUGUCCUCUGAACCUCUCCCACACUCAACCUGGAAACGCCCCCCUCUUGACCUCUACAUCCCUAUCAUCCAUUUUCUCUAUUGCUUGCAAGCAGCAGAAUUCUGUUGUAACCUUAGCCAGCUUCAAAAUCUUAAGAAUUAAAUCUGCCUGAGGUCUUAAUUGUUCCUCAGCAAUGUCUGUUUGGGGAGCUUUUUAGCCUCUUCCUGACAGAAGACCUAUUCUAAACCUUCAGUUUUCUCACCUCCAAAGCUGCCCAUAGCCCAGGCUGUCAAGAGAGGCCUUCAGGCAAUAGAUUUCAUGUUUAUCUUUCCCUCUCUUUCUCAACAGUACAACUUCCUUCCUUACCGUAUGUUUCUGCCUGUUACAUGGCUGCCUGUUAACUUGUGCCCUUGAGCCCAUAGUCUCCAUGCUACUUUAAGCACCUUUUACCACAUUCAUGAGACCUUCUUUCUAGCAUCUUCAGUCUCUUCUUCAUUAGCUCCUUCUCUGAUGUCUAGGGUUUUUCAUGUUUAUCAUGCCCAGGUCAUCCCUUUGCUUGACGUUGCUCUCUCAUCUAACUUUUAGCCCUAUAUCUUUCCAUGACAAAUUGCAUUUCUUGCUGUUUCUUGUUCCUAUAACAUCUAUUCAUUCCUGAGUCCACUGACCCAUUCUCCUGAUGUUACAUUCACAACACAGCUUCGUUCUCCUUUUUUCCCCCUUCAUCUGAAAAUGUCUUCUCCUGGGCCGACCCGGUGGCACAGCGGUUAAGUUCCCACGUUCUGGUUCUCGGUGGCCCAGGGUUCCCCGGUUCGCAUCCCGGGUGCAGACAUGGCACCACUUGGCAAGCCAUGCUGUGGGAGGCAUCCCACAUAUAAAGUAGAGGAAGAUGGGCAUGGAUGUUAGCUCAGGGCCAGUCUUCCUCAGCAAAAAGAGGAGGAUUGGUAGCAGAUGUUAGCUCAGGGCCAAUCUUCCUCAAAAAAAAAAUAAAUAAAUAAAAGAAAAUGUCUCCUCCCUGGAAUUCUGUGAUACCGAUAGGCCUUCCUGGUUCUCCUCCUAUCUGUCUAACCAAAAUGCCUUCACUAUCUUCUCGUGUUGGCUGCUCUCCUCUUCAGAGCCUUCUUGGUACUGCAAGCAAUUCAGGACUCCCGAUCCAGCAUUAGACUUGCAAAGCUGCAUCUCCAGCCCUGAAUGUUUUGCUCUGCAACUGCAGCCCAUUCUCUCUCACCUCGGAAGCCAUGUGCUGUGUUCCUGAUCUAUUUUCCCUUCCUUUUCACCUGAGACAUGCAGGGGCCACUCUGAUGCUUUUCUUUAUGUCACACAGGGUGACCUCCACAUAGUAGGCACUUUAAAAACAACUGGCUGAAUUAUUUUAAGAAAACAACUGGAUGUUUUCUUCCUCGCCACUGAGAAUUCAUUUAAAGCUACCUGGUGAGUCUCUCCCAACAAACAUAUUUUCUCCAGCUUUGUGAAUAGAGGGGAUGGAAAUGUUGGGACGGAUACAGGUCUGCCCGGAAUUUCCUUCACCCUCCUGUUCUGUCCUCUCCUUCCUCUCUAUUACCCUCAUUCCUGUUGACCUGGCAAACUUAUCCCUAUCCCUCAAAACGCGGCUCACAGAGCUCCUUGUCCCUGAAGCCUCAUAAUUACCCAGGCAGAAUUAGGAGCUUCAUAGCUCUCUCAACACAGCUUCUGUGUAGCACUUCUCACUCACUCUAUUCCAGGUACCAAAGUGUAUGCCCCUCAAAUGGCUUACCUUUCAUUUUUAUAUUCCCAGUGCCUGGCUCAGGACUUGGCACAUGGCAGAUACCUGAUAGCUCAAGAAAUUUUUGUUAAAUGCGUCUCUGAAGUCCUACCUAAAUUCCAUGUCUGCAAUUAUGCAAUUCUAUAUG